UGGUUCAGACAUGUUUUAUGUGCUAUGUGUAUGUGUUUAUGUUCCGGGCCACGGCCCGAUGCAGUAUGCAGUAUAAAUUGUUAUGAUAUGCUAUGCUAUGUGCAGUCAGUCCCGGACCUCGGUCCGAUGCAGGGGACACGGUCCCAGUUAGUUCCGGACUUCGGUCCGAUGCAGUUAGUUCCGGACUUCGGUCCGAUGCAGUUAGUUCCGGACUUCGGUCCGAUGCAGUCAGUUCCGGACUUCGGUCCGAUGCAGUUAGUUCCGGACUUCGGUCCGAUGCAGGGGACAAGGUCCCAGUCAGUUCCGGACUUCGGUCCGAUGCAGUUUUCCGGGUCCCGACCCGAUGCAGUGGGCAAGGCCCAAUAUGUGUUUAUAUGUUGUUGUAUGGUAUGUGGUAAGUUGGGGGAGCUCACUAAGCUUCGUGCUUACAGUUUCAGUUUUGGUUUCAGGUACUUCCGCAAGCAAAGGGAAGAGCUCUGGAUGACGGCAUCGCACACACCACCGUUUCAGCUUUAGUUGGAUUUGAUUUAGUUGUUGUUUUGGAUAUAGCAUGUUACAUUUUCCGCACAGUACUUUAUUAUCUUUUGGGACAUAUCACGCAUGGUUUAUCUAUAUGAUACUCUGAUUAUAGUUUUGAUGGUAUUAAAAACAAAAUUUUUGGGUCGUAUUUUUGGGUCGUUUCAAGUUGGUAUCAGAGCCCUGGUUUGAGGGAUUCGGAUACACUCUCGGGUGUAUCUGAACUCAAACUAAGGGGAAAUAAAAGAUUUUUAAUAAAAUGUUUUUACAAAAGAAUUUUGAAAACACUUAGAAGGAAAAGAAUUGUUUUAAGAUAGAGGUGUGUGCAUGCGGUCAACCGAGCUCAAGUAAGUACUCCCAAAUUACCCAUACAAGUUAUUUGUUCAAUUUCAGUUUAGUAGAACAGCAUGCUAGAAUAGGACUAAGGGUGUAGGAGAAUGCCUUAUGUGCCUGCUUAUGUGUUACAGCUCUAUGAAUAUUGCAUGCUAGAAUUGAGUAGACAGCAGUAGGAUAGCCUGUUUAGGUUAUGCCUGAUAGUGUGAGCUUAGCAUCCUAUGCUAGUGCAAUUUCUUGUUAUAAGAAUAGCUUGCGUGAGUCUGUUUCCCUUGUCCGAAUGCUGCUUGCUUUGUGCUUAGUGGGAUUCCGAGUAAUGGGAGUUAGCCAUUAGGUGGACACGUCACACCACAUGUAAUCAGGUUUGAAUAAUCCCAGAGUGCUGGAACUGGCCCUACUGCGCAGCUCUUGUUUGAGUCCAACCGUUGUAGGGACGGAUCUUUUACUUGAAGGAUUAUCCGAUCCUCAUCACAUGUGAUGGUGUUCAGGUGAUGGCUAACUGGCAGUGCAAGGAGACCUACAGCAGCUGAGGACCAGUCGUAUUGAGCUCGAGUUUUCUCUAGGGCAAGCCUAGGGUGAGAGUAGCAGAAAAUAGCAGCGGUAGAAGUGACUUGGGGAAGUCGAGGCAGUUCUUGAGGAAAGUACGGAUAGAUGUGGAAGGUAGUAGGGGCCCAUACUACUGGAAACAGAGGAUCCGUACUCGAAUCAAGGAAGGCCAAGAUUAGACCAGGAAGCUAGUAGUCGUAUUAUGAUCCCUUGAAAUAUUUCAAUGUUCUGAUGUUGUUAUGAUAUGUUUCAGAAUGGUAGUUUUGCGUCCGAGGCCAGCAGCCGGCAGUUCAGAUGCCGGAGGAGGAUCAGGAUCGGGAUCCGACCCGGAGGUCGGACAGAUGGAUGAGCAGACCAGAGAGUUCCUUUCUUCUGAGAUUACUCGCAUCAUACUUGAGCAGACUCCUGUGAUCUUCGGUUCGAUCAAGGAGGGCAUUUUGGAGAUGAUGGAUGAGAGACUGAGUACCUUCCGUACUGAGAUGGCGGCCAUGAUGGGGUCGCGCACACUCACUUUCAGGGAGUUCAGGGCGUGCGGGGCUCCUGACUACCACGGGGCACGGGACCCCAUAGCGAGUACCAGGUGGUUGGCGGAUGUGGCCAACGCAUUCCGCACUAGCAGAUGUCCCGAGGGGGACAAGGUCAGAUUGGCGUCCUGUCUCCUGAAGGACAGGGCACGUGACUGGUGGGAGGAGGUAGGACAUACCAUCGGGGAUGAUGCGGCAUUGGAUGCCAUGACCUGGGCUGAUUUUUCUACCAGGUUCAGAGCGGAGUUCGCACCGGUCAUUGAGGUGCAACAGUUAGCCAGGGAGUUCCAGGAUCUUACCCAGACUACCGAGACAGUGGCGGAGAUCACCGCCAAGUUCAGGGAGCGGGCCCUUCUUGUUCCUCAGUAUGCAGCAGACGAGGAGAUGAAGAAGGCCCGUUAUCACGAGAUGUUGCGGAGCGACAUUCGUAUGUUUGUGAGCCGGUCCAGUUGCAAAACACUGGACGACAUGAUUGCUAGAGCCAGAGAGAGGGAGAUUGAUCUCGAGAUGGAGAGGAAGAGGAAACCGGAGGCGGUUUCGGGUGCAGGCAGUGUGGGCAAAAAGCCCAAGGUUUCAGAUCACAGAUCUAGGAGUCAGCAGAGCCACGGUCGAUGUGGCAAGUGUGGGAGAUUGCACGAGGGAGCGUGCAAGGCAGGGAGUUCCGGCUGCUACAAGUGCGGUCGGAUUGGGCAUUUGAGUAGGGAUUGUACGGCCCCUGCCACUACGGUUACAGCAUCGGAUCUGAUUUGCUUUCAGUGCAAUCAGAGGGGACACAAAAGGUCCCAGUGUCCCAGUUUAGCUGCAGCAGGGAAGGUGCAUGCACCCGCCCCUGCUACCUUGAGGAUCACGGAUGGCCGUCAGGGCCGAGCUGAUGCGCCGGUGGCGAAGAGCAGGGCAUUUCAGAUGACAGCAGAGGAGGCGCGAGCGACUCCUGAUGUGGUGACGGGUAUGUAUCUUCCCUUUUAUCUCUUUAUUAUUAUUGAUUAAAUGUUGCUUAUGGUUGUAUGUUUUAUUCAGGGUCGUUCUCUGUGAACGGCAUUUCUGCUUUGGUAUUAUUCGAUUCGGGGGCUACCCGAUCAUUCGUAUCUCUUGCGCUUAGCAAGAGGUUCAGUAGAGCUCCAGGGGAACUGGAUUGUCCGUUAGAGGUGGAGAUAGCAGAUGAUAGGACCGUGAGGGUCGACAAAGUAUAUAGAGGGUGUUCCCUUCAGAUAUUUGAGGAGCAGUUUUCAGUGGAUUUGGUUCCGAUUCCCCUGCGCGGGAAUAAAGUUAUUGUGGGAAUGGAUUGGCUAAGCCCCAACGGGGCGGUGAUUGAUUGUGAGCUUCAGCUAGUGAGGGUUCGCACUCCCAGUGGGGGAGAGAUAGUGGUUCAGGGCGAGAGGCCCCAGCGAGGAUUGACCUUCUGCUCUGCCGCUAGGGCGAGGCGCUACGUUCAGCAGGGUUGCGCCGGUUAUGUAGCCUACGUCUUGGAUGCCCGGGAUAAGGGCAAGACGACGAUCGAUGAUGUUCCUAUUGUUCGAGAUUACCCGGAUGUGUUUCCCGAGGAUUUGCCGGGGAUACCUCCUGAGAGGCAGGUUGAGUUCAGGAUCGACCUGGUUCCUGGUGCGGCUCCGAUAGCCAAAGCACCAUAUCGACUUGCUCCCCCUGAGAUGCAGGAGUUGUCUACACAGCUUCAGGAGCUGUUAGACAAGGGUUUCAUUCGACCGAGCAGUUCGCCUUGGGGAGCGCCGAUCUUAUUUGUGAGGAAGAAAGACGGGUCGCAUCGGAUGUGUAUUGAUUACCGGGAGUUGAACAAGGUAACGGUGAAGAACCGUUACCCACUUCCGAGGAUAGAUGACUUGUUUGAUCAGCUCCAGGGAGCGUCUUGGUUCUCCAAGAUCGACCUACGCUCCGGUUACCACCAGAUGAGGGUCAGGGAUGAGGAUGUACAGAAGACUGCUUUCAGGACCCGGUAUGGUCAUUAUGAGUUUGUGGUGAUGCCAUUUGGGCUCACCAAUGCCCCAGCCGCGUUCAUGGAUCUCAUGAACCGCGUGUGUAGACCGAUGCUGGAUCGGUCAGUGAUAGUGUUCAUCGAUGACAUCUUGGUGUAUUCCAAGACGCAGGGACAGCACGAGGAGCACCUGCGGGAGGUGUUGGAGACUUUGAGGAGGGAGAGACUGUUCGCUAAGUUCUCCAAGUGCGAGUUCUGGUUACGCGAGGUGCAGUUUCUUGGGCAUCUCGUUAAUCAGAAGGGUAUUUUGGUUGACCCGGCCAAGAUUGAGGCCGUGAUGCAGUGGGAGGUCCCGAGGUCUCCAUCUGAGAUUCGGAGCUUCCUAGGAUUGGCAGGGUAUUAUCGGAGGUUUAUUCAGGAUUUCUCCAAGAUAGCAGUGCCGCUCACCCGACUAACCAAGAAGUCGGUAGUUUUUCGUUGGGGGCCUGAGCAGCAGGCGGCGUUCGAGACUCUCAGGCAGAGAUUGUGCGAGGCUCCGAUCCUUACCUUGCCAGAGGGUGUUGAGGAUUUCGUGGUCUAUUGUGAUGCUUCGAUCACAGGUAUGGGAGCAGUGUUGAUGCAGCGAGGCCAUGUGGUGGCUUAUGCUUCGAGACAGUUGAAGCCUCACGAGGCUAAUUAUCCUACCCACGACUUGGAGCUGGGGGCAGUUGUAUUUGCCCUCAAGAUUUGGAGGCAUUACCUGUAUGGGGUCCGCUGUACUAUCUACACGGACCACAAGAGUUUACGAUACCUUAUGGAUCAGCCGAGUUUGAAUAUGAGACAGAGGAGAUGGUUGGACGUGCUGAAGGACUAUGACUGUGAGAUCCUGUAUCAUCCAGGGAAGGCCAACGUGGUGGCCGAUGCCCUGAGCCGCAAGGUGUCGGCGGCCCCUAUCAGGGAUUUGUGUAUGAGGAUGACGGUAAUCACUCCUUUGUUGGAGCGGAUCAAGGAGGCUCAGAUGGAGGGUCUCAAGGAGGAAAGGCAGAAGUGCGAGAGGAUAGUGGGUCGAGUAGCUUCGUUCGACUACGACAGCCGGGGUUUGAUGACGCUUCAUGGUAGGGUGUGGGUACCGUACUGGGGUGGGGUACGGCAGGUAUUGAUGGACGAGGCUCAUAAGUCUCGAUUUUCUAUCCAUCCAGGGGCGACGAAGAUGUAUCGAGAUCUUCGACCUGAUUAUUGGUGGCCCUGCAUGAAGCGGGACGUCGCUUGGUACGUUGAGAGGUGCCUGACCUGCCGGAAGGUCAAGGCGGAGCACCAGAGACCUCACGGCAAGAUGCAGCCGUUGGAUAUUCCCGUGUGGAAAUGGGAGGACAUCACCAUGGAUUUUAUCACCAAACUUCCCAGGACCGCACGUGGAGUAGAUUCGAUAUGGGUAGUGGUGGAUCGGUUGACGAAGAGUGCCCAUUUUAUUCCGAUCCAGGAGAGUAUAUCGGCGGAAAGGUUAGCCGAUAUCUAUGUGCGAGAGAUUGUGGCACGUCAUGGAGUGCCGGUAUCGGUAGUGUCGGACCGAGAUGUUCGCUUCACGUCCAGAUUCUGGAAGCGGUUUCACGACGAGAUGGGUACUCGUCUCCAUUUCAGCACCGCUUUUCAUCCUCAGACUGACGGGCAGAGCGAGAGGACGAUUCAGACUCUCGAGGACAUGCUUAGGGCAUGCGUUCUGGAUUUUGGGGGCUGUUGGGAUACGUAUCUUCCCUUAGCGGAAUUCUCGUAUAACAACAGCUAUCAUGCGAGCAUUGAUCGACCUCCUUUUGAGAUGUUAUAUGGCAGGAAGUGCAGGACCCCGAUUUGUUGGGGCGAGGUCGGUCAGCGGGUUAUGGGGAGCACUGAAGUGGUGCUCAAGACGACGGAACUGAUCCAGCAGGUCCGUAGUAGACUGCAGACUGCGCAGAGUCGGCAGAAGAGCUACGCCGACAAGAGGCGUUCAGACUUGGAGUUCCAGGUAGGAGACAUGGUUCUUCUGAAAGUCUCACCUUGGAAAGGUGUCAUCAGGUUCCGGAAGAGGGGCAAAUUGGGCCCCAGAUUUAUUGGUCCUUUCAGGGUUUUGGCCCGGGUGGGUCGGGUUGCUUACCGGUUAGAUCUUCCUGAGGAGCUCAGUUUGAUACACAACACCUUCCACGUGUCGCAGUUGAGGAAGUGUCUAGUGGACGAGACAGCGGUCGUUCCCUUGGAGGAUAUCCAGGUCGAUAGCGGCUUGAAUUAUAUCGAGAAGCCGAUAGCAAUUUUGGAACGGAAGACCAAGACCUUGAGGAACAAGGUAAUUCAGCUGGUAAAGGUGCAGUGGCAGCAUCGGAAGGGGUCUGAGUGGACAUGGGAGGCUGAAGAAGAAAUGAGAACGCACUACCCGGAGUUAUUCGCAGAUCCAGCCGUAGCAGACUUCGAGGACGAAGUCUGAAACAAGUGGGGGAGAAUUGUAACGACCCGUUUCCGGUAUGUUAAUUAAUUUGAUUUGGGCUAAGUUUUCAAGAGGGACUCGGCGAGUUCUAGCCUGACUCGCCGAGUCAGGUCGCGCAUCUUGUGCACGCGGGAGCCGGCGACUCGGCGAGUCCAUAUCCUGGACUCGGCGAGUCCGUCCGUCUGGGUGAAACCCUAACUCCCCGGGUUUGCUCACUAUUUAAACCCCAUUAUAGCCUCCAUCUCGUCACUUUCCCCCUGAGAGCACUGUGAGAAACCCUAAACCUUCCUCUUGUGAGCUUAUAAGUGAUCUUGUUCCAUUUUGUGAAGGGGUGAAGAAGGAGAAGAAGAAGGAAGCAAGGAAACGAGUUCUAGUGCCAAGAUCCAAGAUCAAGUGUGAACUUAUUGAGGUAUUUUCGGAGUUCUCUUCUGGUUUCAUGCUUAAACUUCCAUUAGAGCUCUUUUAAGGGCUAUUUGAUGCUUGUUCCAAGCUUUAUGCUUGCUUGAUUGUGUUAUUGAGCCGAAAUACCUUUGGAUCUGAGUGUUGGGGUGUUGAAGAGUCCAGAUCCACUGUCUUUUUGGAGUUACAUUGCUUAUUAGCCAUGGAUCUACCCUUAUUGUGCAUAUUUUAGUCUUAUUUCCCUCAUUCAUGUGGUUGUGCACGUAAAGUUGGAAACUUUACGUGGUAAAACAGCUUAAUGGACCUAGAUCUAUCAUUUGCAUGUGUUGGAUUCAAGAGAAAUCGAGUAAAAAUAUGUUGCAUGGCGGCGACUCGGCGAGUCGGAGGAACGACUCGACGAGUCAGGUCGCGAGUCCCGAGUUCUUCAGUUUCUUCAGUGUCGAGUGUACGAGGUGAGUUAGGGAGUGGACUCAGCGAGUUAAGAGUAGACUCAGUAAUGGAGGGACUCGGCGAGUUGUUCAUACAACUCGGCGAGUCCAAGGCAAUCUCCUUGAGGAUUAAGAACAACUCGUCGAGUCUGUUCAUCUGACUCGGCGAGUCGGAUGAAGAUCAUCUGAGUUCUUGGAUCCAGAGGGUACCCGUCGAGUCGAUGCCACACUCGACGAGUAACAGCAUGUAAGAGUUGAACGGGGAAUCUAGGACUCGGCGAGUCGGGUAUCCCGACUCGGCGAGUCAGCCCUGAGUAAGUCAACUUUGACCAAGGGUAAAAGAGUCAUUUUACCCUGAGUGUAGUGCUAGUGAUUGAUUGAGUGUGUUUAUGGAUUUGUAGCCGAGGAGAUUCAGGAGCAGCAGCCGUUAGCUUUCCGAGCCACACACUCAUCCGCUAGCUUACGAGGUGAGUCUCCUUUCCGUAGGGGCGGGUCUAAGGCCACAAUGCCGGCCCGUCCAGUUAAUAGUAGUUUCCGGACUUCGGUCCGAUGUAGUAGUUCGUAUGUUUGAUGCCUUCGUGGUUCAGACAUGUUUUAUGUGCUAUGUGUAUGUGUUUAUGUUCCGGGCCACGGCCCGAUGCAGUAUGCAGUAUAAAUUGUUAUGAUAUGCUAUGCUAUGUGCAGUCAGUCCCGGACCUCGGUCCGAUGCAGGGGACACGGUCCCAGUUAGUUCCGGACUUCGGUCCGAUGCAGUCAGUUCCGGACUUCGGUCCGAUGCAGUCAGUUCCGGACUUCGGUCCGAUGCAGUCAGUUCCGGACUUCGGUCCGAUGCAGUUAGUUCCGGACUUCGGUCCGAUGCAGGGGACAAGGUCCCAGUCAGUUCCGGACUUUGGUCCGAUGCAGUUUCCGGGCUUCGGCCCGAUGCAGUGGGCAAGGCCCAAUAUGUGUUUAUGUGUUAUUGUAUGGUAUGUGGUAGUUUGGGGGAGCUCACUAAGCUUCGUGCUUACAGUUUCAGUUUUGGUUUCAGGUACUUCCGCAAGCAAAGGGAAGAGCUCUGGAUGACGGCAUCGCACACACCACCGUUUCAGCUUUAGUUUGGAUUGAUUUAGUUAUUGUUUUGGAUAUAGCAUGUUACAUUUUCCGCACAGUACUUUAUUAUCUUUUGGGACAUAUCACGCAUGGUUUAUCUAUAUGAUACUCUGAUUAUAGUUUUGAUGGUAUUAAAAACGAAAUUUUUGGGUCAUAUUUUUGGGUCGUUUCAGAAGAUCUGGAGACACUACCUAUACGGUACAAAAAGCACUAUAUUUACCGACAACAAAAGCCUACAACAUAUAUUCGACCAGAAGGAGCUCAACAUGAGACAACAACGGUGGGUCGAGCUACUCAGUGAUUACGAAUGCGAAAUUCGUUAUGUAGUAGCUGACAUCCUAAGUCGGAAAGAAUACUCUGGUCGUAGAGUCAAAUCAUUGACUAUGAAUAUCCAUCCACACUUUUCCACACAAAUUAAGGAGGCUCAGCUCGAUGCUUUGAAAUCUGAAAAUGUGGUGAGUGAAUCCCUAAGAGGGAUGGAUAAGAACUUGGAAUUCAAGGGUGGCG
rnacentral:lncRNA from 1 species